rnacentral:rRNA from 1 species
UACGUAGGGUGCAAGCGUUAAUCGGAAUUACUGGGCGUAAAGCGUGCGCAGGCGGUUUGUAAGUCUGUCGUGAAAUCCCCGGGCUCAACCUGGGAAUUGCGAUGGAGACUGCAAGGCUAGAAUCUGGCAGAGGGGGGUAGAAUUCCGACGUGUAGCAGUGAAAUGACGUAGAGAUGUGGAGGAACACCGAUGGCGAAGGCAGCCCCUGGGUCAAGAUUGACGCUCAUGCACGAAAGCGUGGGAGCAACAGG